GAGUGCGACCACCUGGGAGAGCAAUGAACUUUCAUGCAGCAGGCAAGGUUUGUUCUCUUGGGCAAGCUCCCCCUCGUAAACAACUGAAAGGAUGCAUCGCUGGAAACUCAACAAAUUUUGAUGAAGACACCUGGACUCCCUGCGGUACAUUCGCCGUGGAGGAAGAAAAAGAAAUGAGGGAGCGUGACGUCACCAGCCUUUGCAAGCCAACCCGUUAUGAAGCCAGAAGUGUCGGGUCGAAACGUGCUUUUUGCGUCAAGAUCACGCAAGCAACGAAUGUUUCCGAUAUACUUCAGAGUGUGGCGCCCGGUAACUUAUAUCCGAAGUGCGCUUGUUCGGCGCAGAGCAGCCUGCUCACGCAGUAUGUUACAGAACGCACAACCACCGAAAUUGUUAAAAACCACCCCACGCUCUGACGUUUGGGUCAUGUGUUGAGCUGACACGGUCGGCUUCACUUAUACUUAGCUUCACUCGUGUGACGUAAUUCUCCCUUCUUUUUUCCUCCCUGCAUGACAAUCUCGAACCCAGACAUUAUUUUGUUCUGAGCUGCCAAGUGCAUAUGUAUUUUCGUCCAAGUUAACAUGGCAAGUGGUAGGUCUGGGGCUUUAAAAUUCAAAAAAGCAGCUGUUCACGCCACUCCCGCUUACAAGGAGUCGUCUGGGCACGACUGUGACGUCUAACGAUGCGAAACCAAUCAGUUCAAGGGGAAGAUACUACUCAGCCCUGUCAACGAAUAUCACAAUUAGACGCGGAUAUUGUACC